rnacentral:rRNA from 1 species
CACCGCGGUUAUACGAGGGACCCAAGUUGAUAUUCGCCGGCGUAAAGAGUGGUUAAGACAUACAAUGAAACUAAGGCGGAAUUUCUUCACAGUCGUCAUACGCUUUUGGAGAUAAGAAACCCAAUAACGAAAGUAGCCUUAUGAUAUCCGAAUCCACGAAAGCUAGGGCA